rnacentral:rRNA from 1 species
UGGCUCAGAUUGAACGCUGGCGGCAUGCCUUACACAUGCAAGUCGAACGGCAGCGGACCUUCGGGUGCCGGCGAGUGGCGAACGGGUGAGUAAUAUAUCGGAACGUACCUUUCAGUGGGGAUAACGUAGCGAAAGUUACGCUAAUACCGCAUAUUCUGUGAGCAGGAAAGCAGGGGAUCGCAAGACCUUGCGCUGAUUGAGCGGCCGAUAUCAGAUUAGCUAGUUGGUGAGGUAAAGGCUCACCAAGGCGACGAUCUGUAGCGGGUCUGAGAGGAUGAUCCGCCACACUGGAACUGAGACACGGUCCAGACUCCUACGGGAGGCAGCAGUGGGGAAUUUUGGACAAUGGGCGCAAGCCUGAUCCAGCCAUGCCGCGUGAGUGAAGAUGGCCUUCGGGUUGUAAAGCUCUUUCGGCCGGGAAGAAAUCGCACGGGUUAAUACCCUGUGUGGAUGACGGUACCGGAAUAAGAAGCACCGGCUAACUACGUG